CAGCAGCCACGGUAAUACGGAGGAUCCAAGCGUUAUCCGGAAUCAUUGGGUUUAAAGGGUCCGUAGGCGGUCUUGUAAGUCAGUGGUGAAAGCCCAUCGCUCAACGGUGGAACGGCCAUUGAUACUGCAGGACUUGAAUUAUUGGGAAGUAACUAGAAUAUGUAGUGUAGCGGUGAAAUGCUUAGAGAUUACAUGGAAUACCAAUUGCGAAGGCAGGUUACUACCAAUUGAUUGACGCUGAUGGACGAAAGCGUGGGUAGCGAACAGGAUUAGAUACCCCCGUAGUCCCUGUCUCUUAUAA
rnacentral:rRNA from 1 species